rnacentral:rRNA from 1 species
UUUCCUACGGGGGGCAGCAGUGAGGAAUAUUGGUCAAUGGUCGGGAGACUGAACCAGCCAAGCCGCGUGAGGGAUGAAGGUACAGAGUAUCGUAAACCUCUUUUGUCAGGGAACAAAGGCGGGGACGUGUCCCCGGAUGAGUGUACCUGAAGAAAAAGCAUCGGCUAACUCCGUGCCAGCAGCCGCGGUAAUACGGAGGAUGCGAGCGUUAUCCGGAUUUAUUGGGUUUAAAGGGUGCGUAGGCGGAUUUUUAAGUCAGCGGUAAAAUGUCCGGGCUCCACCCGGGCCGGCCGUUGAAACUGGGG